rnacentral:misc_RNA from 1 species
GAACAAGAUCCUUCGGAUUACUAUGAGACUGCAGAUCAACUAUUGGAGCCGCUGCUUUUAUGCUAUGAGUCUCUGCAAUCAUGUGGAUCUGUGGUGCUUGCUGAUGGUCGGUUAGUUGAUCUGAUUAGAAGAGUUGCUACAUUUGGUAUGGUAUUAAUGAAGCUGGAUUUACGUCAGGAAUCUGGUAGACAUGCCGAAACUUUGGACGCCAUUACAACGUAUUUGGACAUGGGUUCAUAUAGUGACUGGGAUGAAGA